CCUAACCAGGAUAUACUCUGUUCUUGAACAACAUACAAAGUUUAAAGUAACUUGGGUAUGGCUACAAAAGGUUAACAAACACAGUAUUUUCCUCAAAUGAACAUGUUUAUUGUAGAUUCUUCUUUUUUGAAAGAACAACAGCAAAACAUCUACAGCUCUGUAAAGCUGGUGGGAACUAAUGUUCACCUUAAUUCUGACUUGAACUGGAAGCAUUUUAAGAAAUCUUCUCAUUGCUUUUCUAACAAAUUCCCGCUUGUUUAGCCUUUGCUGCUACUUUUUCUAGUUAGAUUUCCAACUUGCCUGUGGACUUCAUACUGCAAGUUGCAAU
rnacentral:lncRNA from 1 species